rnacentral:rRNA from 1 species
UUAGUGGCGGACGGGUGAGUAACGCGUGAGCAACCUGCCUUUCAGAGGGGGAUAACGUUUGGAAACGAACGCUAAUACCGCAUAAGACCACACUUCCACAUGGGAGAGGGGUCAAAGGAGCAAUCCGCUGAAAGAUGGGCUCGCGUCCGAUUAGAUAGUUGGCGGGGUAACGGCCCACCAAGCCGACGAUCAGUAGCCGGACUGAGAGGUUGAACGGCCACAUUGGGACUGAGAUACGGCCCAGACUCCUACGGGAGGCAGCAG